rnacentral:rRNA from 1 species
GACGAACGCUGGCGGCGUGCUUAACACAUGCAAGUCGAACGAAGUGGCGAACGGGUGAGUAAUACGUGGGUAACCUGCCCUCCUUUUUGGGAUAAGCCUUGGAAACGGGGUCUAAUACCGAAUAAAGGGGGAUGGGCUAGCGGCCUAUCAGCUUGUUGGUGGGGGGAUGGCCUACCAAGGAGGUGACGGGUAGCCGGCGUGAGAGGGUGAGCGGCCACAUUGGGACUUAGAUACGGCCCAGACUCCUACGGGAGGCAGCAGUGGGGGAUAUUGCACAAUGGGCGAAAGCCUGAUGCAGCGACGCCGCGUGUGCGAUGAAGGCCUUCGGGUUGUAAAGCACUUUUGGCAGGAAAGCGGUACCUGCAGAAUAAGCACCGGCUAACUACGUGCCAGCAGCCGCGGUAAUAC